GAUGAACGCUGGCGGCGUGCCUAAUACAUGCAAGUCGAGCGGACGGACGAUAAGCUCGCUCCCCUGCUGUUAGCGGGGGACGGGCGAGUAAGACGUGGAUCACCUUCUUCUAUGACUGGGAUAACUUCGGGAAACCAUAGACAAUACCGGCUCAUAUUUUGAACCGCAUGGUUCAAAAGUGCAACACGGCCUUGCUGUCACUAAUAGAUGAAUCCGCGCUGGAUUAGCUAGUUGGUAAGGUAACGGCUAACCAAGGAGACGAUGCAUAGCCGACCUGAGAGGGUGAUCAGCCACACUGGAACUGAGACACGGUCCAGACUCCUACGGGAGGCAGCAGUAGGGAAUCUUCCGCAAUGGGCGAAAGCCUGACGGAGCAACGCCGCGUGAGUGAUGAAGGUCUUCGGGUCGUAAAACUCUGUUAUUAGGGAAGAACAUAUGUGUAAGUAACUGUGCACAUCUUGACGGUACCUAAUCAGAAAGCCACGGCUAACUACGUG
rnacentral:rRNA from 1 species